CAUCCACUGGAAACCAUAAAUGGCUGUACCAAAUUUGGUGCCAAUCCAUCAAAUAAAUGUUGAGAUAUUUUAGUUUGGACCAAAGUGGUUGACCGUCCAACAGAUCGAGAUUGCAACCAGAGCCACAGCAUGGCUAAAACGCUCUGCUGGACAGACAGACCUGCCCGGGUGGACACUUGAGAGGGAAUCUGAUGCAGUCCAGAGCCCUACUGAAUACAAGACAGGGGGAUUUGGCUUCUGCACGACCCCUGCUGGAGGACAGAAGGCAUGGCUCGCUUGUCGACCUGCUGACGCCUCAUGCGGAUGACAGCUGCGU